AACGAACGCUGGCGGCAGGCCUAACACAUGCAAGUCGAACGCCGUAGCAAUACGGAGUGGCAGACGGGUGAGUAACACGUGGGAACGUACCCUUCGGUUCGGGAUAAGCCAGGGAAACUUGGUCUAAUACCGGAUACGUCCGCAAGGAGAAAGAUUCAUUGCCGAAGGAUCGGCCCGCGUCCGAUUAGCUAGUUGGUGAGGUAAUGGCUCACCAAGGCGACGAUCGGUAGCUGGUCUGAGAGGAUGAUCAGCCACACUGGGACUGAGACACGGCCCAGACUCCUACGGGAGGCAGCAGUGGGGAAUAUUGGACAAUGGGCGCAAGCCUGAUCCAGCCAUGCCGCGUGAGUGAUGAAGGCCCUAGGGUUGUAAAGCUCUUUCGCCAGGGACGAUAAUGACGGUACCUGGAGAAGAAGCCCCGGCUAACUUCGUGCCAGCAGCCGCUGUAAC
rnacentral:rRNA from 1 species